rnacentral:misc_RNA from 1 species
AAGUGAUGUCUUGCGAAUGUUAUUGAGAGCACAGAAAAGCAUCACCACACGCUCCAAUCCGACUCCAAAUCCACCAUGGGGAGGUGCACCAUACCGGAAAGAAUCAAUGUAUGUUGAUAUUGUCUUCACAUCAAUUCCACAUUCUCCGGCACGUUUUUCCAAGAGUUCAGGAACAUGGACACGCUGAGCUCCUGAGAUAAUUUCCUCCCCUCUGAUAAAGACAUCAAAAGAAUUGCUGUAAGAUGGAUUGUCAUGACAAGGCAUGGUAUAGAAUGGACGAACAGCCUGUGGGUACUUGUGAAGUAUAUAG